rnacentral:snRNA from 1 species
AAGCUCGCUUUGGCAGCUCAUAGACUGAACUGGACAGCUACACAGGAGACCAGCACGGCCCCUGCGCAAGCAUCACCUGCAAGUCUGUGAAGCGCUCCAUAUUUUC